CCGAAUUCUAGCGAGCAAUAAUUUUGAGUCGAGCGAGCUUAAGCCCUAAACGAGUGGCUUGAAAUUCUUAACAUCACGCAAUCUAUAGUUUAAUUUUUAGAUAACAUUAUCUAAAUUUAUUAUAAAAACAUGUCUAAUAGUUCAACAUAUAAAAUAAAUGUAUGAAUACGAUAUUAUAAUAUUAAAAAAUAAUAAUUUAGGGGAAGCAACUAUAUGAGCAAGUGAAAAAGAGAGAGAGAGAGAGAGCGCGCGCGCAAUUAGAGUAGGAUUUUACUGGUUUGGUUUUGUGGGCCAGUAAAUAUGUUCAAUAACCAAAACUCUACAUAUAUAAAUAUAAUUAAAAUACAUAAUAUAUAUUAUUACGUAUAAUUAAAAUAUAUAUUAUAAAUAUUUUUUAUUUUAAUAUAUAUAUAUAGGCUAAUACUACUAUCCUAUUAAUAGGAUAGGCGCACUUGUCCUAUCAAGUUAUUUUUGAUGAUCGAGAUUCCGAAUCGAUGAUCGGAGCCGUUGAAGUUGAUCUAGAGUAUUUGAAAUAUCUAGAAACUAAAUUUCAUAAAUUUUGAUAAUGGUUUACAUGGUGAUCAAAGUGUCGUAAAAUCGAUAAUUUUUUAUGGCCUAUAUGAGCCGUUUGCUUGUUUAACAGUGUAGAGCAAUCCAAAUUGCUUGAAUUUUUGAUAGAAAAUUCUUUAUACUAUUUAGAUAAUAUUUGAUAACUCUGAUUAUGAAUUGAGAAAAUCUAACUUCUAUUUUAGGAAGGUUAUUCAUUUAUGACCGUCAUUUUUUAACUCUUAAAAUGAACUGGAUAAUAAUUUUUAAAUAAUAAAAAAAUUGGUUUCUAAACGUUUCUAAUUGUGUAGAUCAACUUCAACGGUGCCGAUUAUCAAUUUGAAGUUCCGAUCAUUCAAAUCGACUUGAUAGGAUAAGGGUCCCAAUCCUAUUAAUAGGAUAGUAGCCGGACUCUAUAUAUAUAUA
rnacentral:lncRNA from 1 species